GACGAACGCUGGCGGCGUGCUUAACACAUGCAAGUCGAACGGUGAUCUCGGGGCUUGCUCCGGGUGAUCAGUGGCGAACGGGUGAGUAACACGUGAGUAACCUGCCCUUGGCUCUGGGAUAACCUCGGGAAACCGGGGCUAAUACCGGAUAUGACGCAGACAGGCAUCUGUUCUGCGUGGAAAGUUUUUCGGCCAGGGAUGGACUCGCGGCCUAUCAGCUUGUUGGGGGGUAAGUGGCCUACCAAGGCGACGACGGGUAGCCGGCCUGAGAGGGCGACCGGCCACACUGGGACUGAGACACGGCCCAGACUCCUACGGGAGGCAGCAGUGGGGAAUAUUGCGCAAUGGGCGAAAGCCUGACGCAGCGACGCCGCGUGAGGGAUGAAGGCCU
rnacentral:rRNA from 1 species